CGGCGGGUCCCCACGUCGCCGGGCGGACAGCGCUCUCAGGGCAAUGCCGCAUUUGUUUCGCCCUGCCCGCGGAAUCUCGCCACUCAGGAAGCAAGGAGAGAAACUUACGUUUCACGCGGGACUGGACGGGAGGUUUAUCUCCAGGAAAGCAGAACAUUCAUCAUAGAAUCAGAAUACACUCUGGAUUUUCUUCCCGUGUGCAGACUACACCAAAUGAAGUCUUAAAUCCGCUUAUACCAACACCUUUCUGUAAAUAUUCUGUUUCAACAGAUUGCCAGAAAGAACUUCAGAGCAUUUCAAAGGCAAUAACUUCGAACACUAACUUCAAGCUUUCAUUGAGAGCACAGAUUCUAUAGCAACGAAGUAACAAUGGCAACAAAAUUGCAUUCCGUUGAUUGAAGCUUUUUAAGAGCUGGGAAUGUGAGACUACGACAACCUUUCCCUUGUGUAAUGUCAAUGUCGGCUAUCACUUUGGCAGAAUCAGCCAGCUCAGUGAAGACACGAAAACCCUCCUUCCCUCCUGUUUUUUCGUCUGCUGGUGGCAUUCAAAGUGACCUUCCCUUAUAAAUAUUGCAUGCUGAUGAGCUGUUUGUGAAUGUGGAAGAUUUUUGCUGCAGAGCUGCUAGUGAAAAUGUGAUAAUACACUUCAGUGGUGAGUAGAAGCAUAAUUAUUGCUUUAAAAUCACAAAAAUUCUGUCAGCCAACCAUAAAGAAAAGAACAACAGGACAACAUUUUCAACUACAUUUUUCUUUAAUUGCAACUGCAUUUACGAAUCCGUUUUAGAUGAUGUUAAAUCAGAAAAUAUAAAAAAUGCCAGAAUUGGGGCCCCUAUGUAGAAUGCACACAUACAUAACCACCAUCACCUCUGAAGCCAAAUACAGAAGUACAUAUGUAGUGAUUCAGAAAAUCAAAUGUUUUCUGGAAGAUGGAAGGACAGUAGGGUUCUACAGAAAGAAGCGUGAAUAUUAUUUUCCAAAAUUCUCCUCCUAAAGCUACCUAUAUGCUAUUCUAGAUGCCAUUGGGUACUGAAUAGCACCCAAACAUGGAUAAGUAAAUAUCCCACUUCCAUUUCCCUAAUUUCUGAUCCUCAGACCAGCAUUCCUGACUUCUCCCACAUCCUGAGAUGUAGGCUGUUACAUCUGGCUCUCCUAUAUAAAUGUACACACAAUGCACGUUAUAAAUACCAUCUUCUGUGGUGCAAAAUAAAAGUUUUAUGGACAGUUGCAAGCCAUAUGUUCUCAACGAGAAAUCUUUUCCAGAUGAACUUGUGAAGUCAGUUUGGCUUUUUAUCAAAAUUAGUAUGUUGCUGCCAAAUUUUACACAGCAUUCAUCAUUCGUUUUUGUUGCAUCUCUAAUUCUAUAUCAUAUAAAUCCUACUGACAUUGAGUAGAAGAAAAAAAAUAAUUCAGAAUCCCUUUUUAUAAGCACAUUUAUAUUAAAUGGUGUUAAAAAAAUAAGAUAUCUUUACUGAUAUUUAAAUUUACUCAGAAAAGGGUAACCAACAGAUGUGAACAUCUGGGUUGCUGGAAUAGUCGGAGUAGCUGUGGAAUCAGUCCUUUCUUCUAACUUAGUGAAAUUGGGUUUAGAAGAUAACAGGUUACUGUUUUACUUUCCUUCAUCAAGUGACACUUCUCUAGAAAGGAGAAAAACAGCUACUUACCAUUACCUGAACAGCUGUCAGAUGAUCAAGCUUUUUGGUAAUAGAAUUUGAUCAUGUAGUUGCUUACUUUACAUAUGUGCGUAGUUACUAGACAACUGCAUGUGCAAACAGAGUUCAAGCCAAAAAAAUAGCUGUUUGCAGAAUUAGGGCCUUAGUGAUGGAAACUUCCUUGUUCCCUUGCUGCAUCAAAUGCUGCGCUGUGUAGUGAAACCGUGUUAUGGUGGGCAGAAUCACGUGUUCUUUAAUGGAAUUGUUGUUACAAAGAAGCAGUAUCCAACAGUGUGAUUUGCAUCAUGCUGUGUGAGCCGCCUACACUUUUCAGCAGUUGGUUCUGUGUCUGUAAUUUAUUGCUCUAGAAACCAUUAUAAUAAUACAAGAAAUGCUGCAGCAAGUGCAGAGGAAAGAACACAUCACAGUCAGACUGUAAUGACUAUUUAGACUAUUUAAACUCACUCAGCUUGUUUUACAUUAGAAAAACAAGUCCUUUUCAAUUACUUAUUUUAUGCAUUUUAUUUGGCUUUCUGGUUUCAUUGUGGUUGAGAUUAAAUACACUAUUACACAUUUUAAGAUAGUUUAUGAUAGAAACUGCCCUAAAACGUAAAACGAGACCUGAAUAUAGGAUGUUAAAAGCAAAAAUUUCCACCUUGCAGAAAAAAAAAUGAUGGCAGAUACAUAACUUCCUACCUAGUAAGUAGUCUAAUGCUUGUAAAAGCACUUCACAAUGUACGGUAAGCUAUACUGAAAACUCUCCAUGCGUUCCCUAUACAGUUUGUAGUUCUAGUCCUUUAAAAACAAUGGCAUUUCAGAUUUGACCAUUAUAGACUUUUUGCUCAUUAGUAGAAGAGACGUCAUCAGAUGGCUUUUGUAGCUCAUUCUUUUCACUGGUGUACUGACCAGCAGGGGGCCAAUAUAGGAAAGAAAUACCCUGAUGCUGCUAAGGAUCCCUCAACAGACCAAACUGGGACCUCCAGCUGGUGGUUCAAUAUCACCUUUUCAGUCUUGAAUUAAGCACAGGACAUGGCCCAUAAUUUUUAUUUUUAUAUGGAAUUUUUACCACACUUCUUUCAGCACACAGUUCACUUCUGUGUUUGCACAGUCCAGCAGAAUACAGAGCAAUUUUUGUCAAUAAUGUUGUCCUCCUAACUUCUAUGUGAUAAAAAAUCAAUCAUUUGUAACUGCAUACUUCUUUCUCAGAUACCUAAAUGCUUUCUUUGCCACAGAGAAGUUUCUCAAUGGUUAAUGUUUGUAUAAUUGAAUGUUUUCAGUCUUUUUUCUUCACCUUUCCAUUUGCUCUGACUCAGUCCUUUCUGCUCUCCACUUUUUGUCUCUGGUCUUGGUUCUCUGAAAUUCAUAAUCUAGAGAGUAGCUGACACCAGUAUUUUGGUUUUAGAACUCCUUAAACUUUUUCCAAACUCCUCUGUAUUGUUUUUGUCCCUCACUGAUUCCAAUCCAGUGACCAUUUGUUUCCUAUUUUCGUAAAGCUCAUUUACAAAUCCUAGAUGCUGCUUUCUUGGUCUCUUCUGUUACUGUUGUUAUUUGUUCCCAGAGCUCUUUUCUGUUGCAUCCUUUGUUUCUGGCCUGUUACUAGCUUUCCUUAAGCUAUUUCUGAAUUUCAUUCAUAUUUAAUGUUUCCACAGUUCUAACAUAAGUAUAGUCACUUCCUUAACCUCCUAGCAUAAGUGAUUUCUUCUGCCUGAAAUACUCCUUUUGAAACCGCAUACUACUUUGCUACCAUAUGCUUACCCUUUUCUUGUGGAUUUUUAGCAGCCAGUGUACAUUUUCUUCCUUAUCCUUUACCUGCCGUGUGAAUUUAUAAAAAUAUUCAUGUUGGCUUAGUGUUUGGUACAAGAGCCAGAUACACAAAAGCAUGGUGUACCACACUAGAGUGUAUUUUAGCAAAAUCCCAUCUGAGACAACAUAACUGCGUUUUUCUUAGGAUUUUGAUAUUUUUUCCUAGUCCGUUUCCAAUGUAAUAGUUUGCAGUGAUGUGACAGAUAGUAGUAACUGCUAGUAACAAACAUAACUUAAUUUUCACUGAUAUAACCUAAAGGAAACAAAAUGCUUAAAUGUUAACACAUUUUCACCACCUCAGUAAAGAUCUCUUCAGAAGAGUAGGUACAGACAUCAAGAGACUGACCAACUAAAAACUCCAAAGGUAAAAUUACUCAUAUCUAUCCCUCAUCUAGUUGUUACUUUAUUUAUUUCUGAGAUUUUUAAAAAGUUAUUCUUUUUCUCGGAAAAAAAAAAUACAUAGAACUCUAGAAUUCGUAUAUCAAAUUUGAAGAUAAAAAAUGUAAUAAAUGGGAGAUACAAAAUAUGCAUAAAUCUAAUUUUUAGAUACAAAAAGUACAGGUCUAGUGGUAACUUCUGAUAAUCUGACAGAAUAUAUGGAAACUGAAUCAUUAUUAUCUGAGUUGAGAGAGUUCAGAAGUUUACUGACAAUGUGUGUUCUUUAUCCUAACAGUCUGAUUUCACAUUGCAUUUUCCUUUUGAGCGGAGCACAAGUAAGCAGCAGUUUUAUUGCAUUUUCCAGAACUACUGGAAAAGUUCAAGAAGCUAUAAAGUACAGAGAGAAGCAAUAAAACAGCAAUAAAAUUGCUAAUAUUAUCUAUAAUUGAAGAGAUUAGCAGCCCACAUUUUUAUAUUUGCUUUUUUUUUUUCACCAGAG
ensembl:lncRNA